rnacentral:lncRNA from 1 species
AAGCUAAAUGGAGUCCGACUCCCUAUGUCAAUCCCAGCUCGCUCAGAGCGCCCUCCGUUGUCACGUGUUGCUGACUAAACUCUGAGGGUGACUUCCAGAGAUUGUGACUUCCCACCCAACACAUGACAAUCUGUGAUUGUCUGUAAACAAUCCAAUGACCUAAAGUAUUGUAACGACCCUGGCGCGGAAAUCGACUCGUGCCGCACAAGCAUGCUUUUGCGGCACAGUCGAUAGCGCGCCGGACCUCGUGCUCGAAGGUUCGAGACCUGCUCCCUGCUGUUUCAUUACACUGGUUUCAGGAGUGAUCGAACCUUGCAUCCACGACAGUGCGUGUGCUUGACCGGUGAGCGCGUUCCUGUAAAACGUAGAGUCUCAAGCUAGCGCGAGGACGCUCUUUGGAGGGAGUAGUGUAACGACACGGGUGUUUUUUGCGGCACAGUUGUUAGCGCGCCGGGGGUCCGAGACCUGCUCCCUGCUGUUUCAUUACAGUAUGUUGGACAUCAUUGAACAUCUCAUUCCAAAAUCAUGGGCAUUAAUAUGGAGUUGGUCCCCCCCUUUGCUGCUAUCACAGCCUCCACUCUUCUGGGAAGGCUUUCCACUUAUGGAACGCCGUUUGGGUCUUUGCGUGUCAAAAAGAUACACGUCAAAUAAGCAUCUUUACCAAUCAGGACCUGAAUAUGACUUCACGUCACACAAUAAUUGAACGACAUAAUAUAACACUAACGGUACCUAACUACCAACGGCGUUACCUAGCUAACGUUAGAUCUGUCUGCCAUUGAUAUUUAACUGAACUCAAGAUAGCUAGCUAAAGUUAAUUGUUCAUAAUCUAACGUGAAUUAUGGAAUCUAUAACACGGUAACUAGUUACUGCUGUACAGUAACGUUAGCUAGCGAUGUUGAAUGAAGAUACUUUUUUUAAAGCUAGUUUGUAGCUAAAGUGCGUUAGUUAAAACUGCAUCGGCUGUCUAUGCAUGGUUGUCUUCAUAGGUCGGAGGCUCAGAGUUGGCAGUUUAGACAAGAGAACACUUUAGGGGUUGUUAACUACACACAGAUAAAUUGUCACUGGACCCAUCGGGUCUGCGGUCUAUUUUUCAGGCUAGAGACCAUGUUGCGGAGCCUUCGGUGGGCAAGCGGUCAUUUGAUUGAUGAAGAGAUGGCCAGCAAUCUAAUUGCUGUUGCAGAGAAGUUCCUACAACAGGCAAAUGACAUCCAACAACGGGAACCUUACGAAGAUGUAUCCUAACAAAUACCUUUGGAGGGAAGGCUGUAUCACAUCAAGGAGCAGCUUGAGUUCCUCAUAGAUUGUCAUGACCAUCAGACAAAUGGCAGAUGUUCUCAAUGUGUCGCACUCUGUGGUCAAGCGGCGCAUGAGGUAAGUUAUCGUAAUUGAAUAAAGCAAUUGCAACACGAGGGAGAUCUCUAGAUUUGAUCACAUUCCUGAUUGAUGUAUCUUUUUGUGUUAUUUUUGUUUUUAGUCAUUUUCAGCUUUUCAGGUCCUACUCACUGUUGUCAGACGCUCA